rnacentral:rRNA from 1 species
UCAGCAGCCGCGGUAAUACGUAGGUGGCAAGCGUUAUCCGGAUUCACUGGGCGUAAAGAGCGCGUAGGUGGUCCUUCAAGUCAGAUGUUAAAUCUCCUGGCUUAACUGGGAGCUGUCAUCUGAUACUGCUGGACUUGAGGGCGGUAGAGGGAGGUGGAAUUCCCGGUGUAGUGGUGAAAUGCGUAGAUAUCGGGAGGAACACCAGUGGCGAAAGCGGCCUCCUAGGCCGUUCCUGACACUGAGGCGCGAAAGCGUGGGGAGCGAACAGGAUCAGAUACCCUGGUAGUCCACGCCCUAAACUGUGGAAACUAGGUACAGGGAGUAUCGACCCUUCCUGCGCCGUAGCUAACGCGUUAAGUUUCCCGCCUGGGGACUACGGUCGCAAGACUAAAACUCAAAGGAAUUGACGGGGGCCCGCACAAGG